rnacentral:piRNA from 1 species
UGAAACAGGAAGACAAGAUGGAGAUGCUGUU